rnacentral:lncRNA from 13 species
GACCUCUUUUUCUCACUGUAUUCUGACUCUGUUUGAGUUCGAUGGGAAUGUUUUAUAGCUCUUCUCACUGUAAUCUGACUCUGUUUGAGUUCGAUGGGAAUGUUUUAGAGGUCUUCUCACUGUAAUCUGACUCUGUUUGAGUUCAAUGGGAAUGUUUUAUAGCUCUUUUCUCACUGUAAUCUGACUCUGAGUUCGAUGGGAAUGUUUUAUAGCUCUUCUCACUGUAAUCUGACUCUGUUUGAGUUCGAUGGGAAUGUUUUAGAGCUCUUCUCACUGUAAUCUGACUCUGUUUGAGUUCGAUAGGAAAGUUUUAGAGCUCUUUUUCUCACUGUAAUCUGACUCUGUUUGAGUUCGAUGGGAAUGUUUUAGAGCUCUUCUCACUGUAAUCUGACUCUGAGUUCGAUGGGAAUGUUUUAGAGCUCUUUUUCUCACUGUANNNNNNNNNNCACACACACACACACACACACAUAGUACAAACUCAAAGGCAAAACUAGUACACACACAAAAAACAUCAUACACACAUCAGAAACCUUCUCUCUGUCUCUCUCACACACACACUCACACAGACACACCCACAUAAACUCUCCCCUCCUUCCCAAUCUCCCCCUUCCCCAUCUCCUCUCUCCAGGGUCUGCCCCAAUCCGUCAGAAGAAGAGUGAUGUGCGCUAGCUAGCGUUGAAUAAACUCCCCUUCUGUGGACGCCUGUACAUCACUCACACAGUCACACACACACACACGGGUCUGGCAGAAAACACACUCAACAACUCCAUCAAAUACAGUCAUGGAAAAUGGCUGACUCUUCCAAAGUCCUGUUUCUCAUCAUGCCAGUCAGCUCCAGUGUGGAUGUUGUCUUGGUGAUCUGGAGACGUUCCUUGAUGAGAUAGUUGAGAGGAUCCCUGUGGUCAGGUAAUAAUAACCUGCUUAAAGUCCAUCCUCACAUUCCCACCACUAAGGAUAAUCAGAGCAAUUAUAUCUGUCUGAGUUCGAUGGGAAUGUUUUAGAGCUCUUUUUCUCACUGUAAUCUGACUCUGAGUUCGAUGGGAAUGUUUUAGAGCUCUUUUUCUCACUGUAAUCUGACUCUGAGUUCGAUGGGAAUGUCUAGACCUCUUUUUCUCACUGUAUUCUGACUCUGUUUGAGUUCGAUGGGAAUGUUUUAUAGCUCUUCUCACUGUAAUCUGACUCUGUUUGAGUUCGAUGGGAAUGUUUUAGAGGUCUUCUCACUGUAAUCUGACUCUGUUUGAGUUCAAUGGGAAUGUUUUAUAGCUCUUUUCUCACUGUAAUCUGACUCUGAGUUCGAUGGGAAUGUUUUAUAGCUCUUCUCACUGUAAUCUGACUCUGUUUGAGUUCGAUG